rnacentral:lncRNA from 1 species
UGAAUUUGAAAGACUUUAACAUUAAAGUGAAAAUUGGUGUUUCAUGUUCCAUACAUUCUCUCAGUAAAGACUUUUUUCUCUUAACAUUGUUACUUUGAGUGUAAAUGAGAUUUUGUAGUAAAAGUGACAUCUUUAGUUUUAGAAAUGAAAUCCCUAUAUAUACUAGUAAGAAAUUACUGCUCUCAAUGUUCAGAUCCUUAACUUUUGCAGCGUAAACGCUUGCAUGCCUUUCCCCAUGCAGUCCCUCAACGUGUCCUGCAAAGCAUUACCCCAAAAAUGGUUAUCGUAUUUGAACAUGAUGCAUGCGCAUCCAAAUAACUACUUCCUCUAUACAUUUGUUGUUGUCGAGAAGCUGGUUGUCCCAUUUUUUGCCAUCUGAGACCUAACGAUAUGCUCAAGUCAUCAACAAAAGUCGAUAUGACUUUUACUAUGACCUGCUUCAUAAUUUUUUAUUUUAAUAACCUUAUCAGUGCUCAUGGCUGAACAUGGCCAAAUUUUGUCUUGUU